rnacentral:misc_RNA from 1 species
UUGACAAUUUCAGUGCUAAUGUGGUGGUAGAUGGUAGUACAGUGAAUCUUGGAUUAUGGGACACAGCUGGGCAGGAAGAUUAUAACAGGCUGAGGCCACUCAGUUAUAGAGGAGCUGAUGUGUUUUUGUUGGCUUUUUCUAUCGUUAGCAAGGCCAGUUAUGAGAACAUAUACAAAAAGGUCUUUCCAUUUCUAGUCCAUGGAUGCUUUAUUUAUUGUUUUCUUUUUUCCUGCAACAUUUUCAUUCUUGAAUUUUCAAUACCUUUGAUACUGUUCUUUGAUUCAUUACUCACAGUGGAUUCCUGAGUUAAAACAUUAUGCUCCAAAUGUGCCAAUUGUGCUAGUUGGAACCAAGCUUGGUAAGAAAUCAAGUCUUGCUAUGAAAUUUUCAAUCCUGAUAAUAUCAACUUGAUAGAGAACUAUCCACCGAAUAUCAUUUAAUCUAAUGUCUCAUCAGUUUAACUUAGCAUAAUGGCACAAUGUUUCUGUUAACUAUAUUUAAUUUUGGAACACUAUAAUGUAGAUUUGCGAGAAGAUAAGCGGUAUUUGAUUGAUCAUCCUGGGGCAACACCAAUAACAACAGCUCAGGCAAGCUGUCUAAUCCAAAAUCUAAUCAAAACCUUGCAUUUGAACUUCUUAAAUUUAACUUUUGAUGAGCAGGGUGAGGAACUGAGGAAAAUGAUCGGUGCCGUUGUUUACAUAGAGUGCAGUUCCAAAACUCAACAGGUAGGCCUGCUUCUGUGUAUUCAAAUUGUAAAGAAAGAUUCAACGGGUAGGCCUACUUCUUGAGUAUUUCUCACAAGACUAAUCUUUUGUUUGUUUUCUCUGCUUGGAUUUUCAGAAUGUGAAGGCUGUGUUUGAUUCAGCAAUAAAGGUAGCUUUGCGACCACGAAAACCAAAGAAGAAACCACGCAAGCAACAAAGAACAUGCUCUUUCCUUUAGAAGAGAUAAGUCUCUCUGGCUAUGCAACUUAAAAUUUCUCACAUGAAUCAUACCAAGUUCCCUUUUGAAGCCAUGGAGAUAUCUACAUAGGAGAGGACCUCAAUUGCUUAUUGCUUAUACUAAGUCCGAUUUUGUAUCUUUAUAACUGUAAUUUCUUUGAUGGAACUAAUAUAUAAGAUUAAAGCAAUACAUGAGCGUCUAGGGGUGAGCAUUAUUUAAUUUGAACCAAAUAAAUCGAACGCUUUAGUUCUGUAAUUUAGUUAAAUUUUUAAAAUAAUUCAGUUCGGUUUGAUUUUGAAGAGAAAAAAAAUUCGAUUAAACCAAUCCGAACCGAAUUGUUUUAUUAAUUUUUAAAUAGAUUUAUUUUUAUAGAGAAUUUA